rnacentral:rRNA from 1 species
UACGAAGGGGGCUAGCGUUGCUCGGAAUCACUGGGCGUAAAGCGCACGUAGGCGGAUUGCUAAGUCAGGGGUGAAAUCCUGGAGCUCAACUCCAGAACUGCCCUUAAUACUGCCAGUCUAGAGUCCGGAAGAGGUGAGUGGAACUCCUAGUGUAGAGGUGGAAUUCGUAGAUAUUAGGAAGAACACCAGUGGCGAAGGCGGCUCACUGGUCCGGUACUGACGCUGAGGUGCGAAAGCGUGGGGAGCAAACAGG